CCCUCACGGCGGCGUCACCGGGCGGGACCGGGCGGGAAGCGGGGCGGCUCGCUGCUAGGGGCCCGGCGCGGGCAGCAGCUCGAGAGCCGGCCCGCUGACAGGCGGCUGCCGGGGGAGCGGAGGGUGGCAGGUACUUGCGGCCGCACCGUUAAGCCUCCGCCGUGGCGGGUUGUUUCCCGCCCCGAGCCCCGCUGCGGUUUGGAACGGAGCGCGCAGCGCGCAUGCGCCGCUCCCCGCUUACGCGCGCACCCUGGCAACCAACGAGGAAGCGAGCUGCUGUAGCACGGGGCGCCCGAGCUGCUCCCCGCAACCUCAUGUCUGCGCAUGCGCAGGGUUGUCAGGCGGCGAGCACUCGACCCCGGGGGCACAGGGGAGGGCGCGAGCCCCGCUUCAGCUUUCCCGCCCUCCCGGCCCGAACCAAUGGAGCUGUCCCAGACUCUUGAGUGAUGGCGGUACGAACCAGUAGGAGCAGGGACUCGCCGCUGCCCCCUGGCGUGCGUCGCGUGUCACGCUGGCUGCUGAGGGAAGCCUUGCUGCCUGGAUCCUGCUUGCGUGCUGCCCUCUGCUGCCUCGUCGAGGCAGGGUGAGGAUAGAGGAGUUUGGAAACGGGCCUUUCUGAAGCGUGUUCCCCAGACCGUGCCUCUGUGUGCACUCCCAAACCUGUCGAUGAGGUGUAUGCCUGUGACAGCAAGCCCUGCACAGUGGGGCUGUGGGUUAGAUGCAGGGGCGGCCAAAGCGGUGGUUGUGCUUUGUGCUAGGCAGUGUAGCUCGUAGCAGAGCUGACUUGAUCUAUUACUGCAGUGUGGCAGGCUGGGCUGCACUGCCAGAACUCCUGUGUGGAGCUCCCUCAUGCAUCUGCAGUCAACCCUGUGUGCUGAGGAGGACCUUGUGGUUGAGAGUUGGGACCUCUGCAUCGCAGGGUGGCUGUGAGACCUUUUGCUGGGCAGGAACAUGCUUGAGUUUGCUCCUCAUUGCAUUAAGAAAGUCCUGUUGA